rnacentral:ncRNA from 2 species
CUACACUUGCGGCACUUUGGUGCUCGCGCGCUCGCCCUGAUGCGCGCGGUUAAACGGGAAACAGGGAGCGAAGUCCGCCCGGACCAGCCAACCUGUGCUGCCCCCGCAACGGUAAGCGACAUGCCGCGCUGCAAUGCGCGGCGACUCCAUUCAGUGCCACUGCGCCGCGAGGCGCGGGAAGGCGGAUGCGAGCGGUCGCCAGCCCGGAUACCGGCCAGAGCGGGGGCGUGCCG